rnacentral:rRNA from 1 species
GCAGCAGCCACGGGAAUACAGAGGGUGCGAGCGUUAAUCGGAUUUACUGGGCGUAAAGCGUGCGUAGGCGGCUUCUUAAGUCGGAUGUGAAAUCCCUGAGCUUAACUUAGGAAUUGCAUUCGAUACUGGGAAGCUAGAGUAUGGGAGAGGAUGGUAGAAUUCCAGGUGUAGCGGUGAAAUGCGUAGAGAUCUGGAGGAAUACCGAUGGCGAAGGCAGCCAUCUGGCCUAAUACUGACGCUGAGGUACGAAAGCAUGGGGAGCAAACAGGAUUAGAUACCCCUGUAGUCCCUGUCUCUUAUAA